rnacentral:rRNA from 1 species
UACGUAGGUGGCGAGCGUUGUCCGGAUUUACUGGGCGUAAAGAGCGCGCAGGCGGUCGUGCAAGUCGCGUGUGAAAGCCCCCCGGCUCAACUGGGGAGGGUCACGCGAUACUGCUCGACUUGAAGGCAGGAGAGGGAAGUGGAAUUCCCGGUGUAGUGGUGAAAUGCGUAGAUAUCGGGAGGAACACCAGUGGCGAAGGCGACUUCCUGGCCUGUUCUUGACGCUGAGGCGCGAAAGCUAGGGUAGCAAACGGGG